CAGAGAUCUACCUGCCUCUGCCUCUCAUGUGCUGGGAUCAAAGUUAUGCACCAUCAUGCCCACCCUUAACCUAUGUCUUUUAACAGUUAAUAAUUUUCACCCACAGAAACAGUUCACCUGAUCUAGUGAGAGCAAGGAGACCCUAGUCAUAAAGCACUGGACCCAACCAAGCCCUCUGAAUCCCACAGAGCUCACAUUCAGCCUCCUAGCAGCCCCAGUGUGAAAUGCCAGCAGCUGACAGGGACAAGAAGAGGCACACCUGUUGAAGUCAGCCAGGUUAGCAUUAGCAUUUUGUCCUGAGCUACCCUACCGUGACUGCAGACAAUACCACAGUGUGACCUCGGAGCAAUGGCAGGGCAGACGUCAUAGCACUUCCAUGGCCUGGAAGAGCCAACAAACUGAAAAUCUUCAAAGUGUUGACUGAAGUACAUCUUACUUGGCUUCCCUUGAAUGUACAGAAAGCCUGGAAAGAAGCAAUUGAGUAGGAUGACUGGCCUUUAGCUGUUGCCAGUUGACAUUGCCAGGUCCAGAAGAACUAUGAUCUAAUUUCCACUUCAAGGAGACUACAAACAAAUGUAAACAAUCAGUUUCCAAGGCCACUGUCCAAGUCCUGGUGUCCUGGUCCCUUCUGCACUGUAAUGUAUGUCUCAGUAUCCUGGUAACUGCUAGAGAGAGGCUCCCUGUUGAGAUGACCAGUACAGAUUGCAAUCUCAAUAGCACGGUCGGAAUAAGCACAUCUUUUUACGGUUAACAAGAUCUUGAUAUUUUCAGAAACUCACUCAGUACCCAUGAUAAUGUCACAAGGCAAAUUAGUAUUAAAAGGCAAACUUUGAAAGAUCUCCAGAGACCUACAAGGAUGACAAGAUCUGACAGUCCGGGCAGUGGAGGAGAGGAUGGCCUAGAAGCCCCUCCCCUAGAAUGAGAGUGAUGACUACUCUCUAUGCUAUCCUAGAGUCCUCAUCCAGUGGCUGAUGGAAGCAGAGACAGACAUACACAGAAAUACACUGAGCUGAAUUCUGGAACCUAGUUGAAGAGAGGGAGGAAUGAAGAACGAAGGGGUCUGUACCAGGUUGGAGAAACCCACAUAAACAGUUGGCCUGAAAAAGGGAAAGCAUAUCGACCCCAGACACUCUUUGCUCUUUGGGAGGCCAGUACGGGACUAAUCCAGCCCCCUGAUCAUGGAUGCCAUCGGGGAGGCCCCUGCACUCCUGGAAGCCUCUGGAGGUGGACUGGCUUUUUGCCCUGGUGUAUGUGGGGGACUUCGAGAGCCCAUCCCACUUGAAGGGAUGCACUCUGUCUCUGAACACAUGGGGAGGGACCCAGGCCCAGCACAGGAAGAUUUGG
ensembl:lncRNA